CCCCUCUCAGGAUUGCACCUGGAGAGUUUUCAGGAAUCUACCAGUCUCUGCUACGGGAGGGAGAGUCAGGCAGAAGCAUACCCGUUCCAUUCCUAGCUUGGCCAGUGGCUAACGACUGGAAGGCACUCAGCUACACGU